rnacentral:rRNA from 1 species
AUGCAAGUCGAACGAGAGAGAAGGAGCUUGCUUCUUCGAUCGAGUGGCGAACGGGUGAGUAACGCGUGAGGAACCUGCCUCAAAGAGGGGGACAACAGUUGGAAACGACUGCUAAUACCGCAUAAGCCCACGGGUCGGCAUCGAUCUGAGGGAAAAGGAGUGAUCCGCUUUGAGAUGGCCUCGCGUCCGAUUAGCUAGUUGGUGAGGUAACGGCCCACCAAGGCGACGAUCGGUAGCCGGACUGAGAGGUUGAACGGCCACAUUGGGACUGAGACACGGCCCAGACUCCUACGGGAGGCAGCAGUGGGGAGUAUUGCACAAUGGGGGAAACCCUGAUGCAGCGACGCCGCGUGGAGGAAGAAGGUCUUCGGAUUGUAAACUCCUGUUGUUGAGGAAGAUAAUGACGGUACUCAACAAGGAAGUGACGGCUAACUACGUGCCAGCAGCCGCGGUAAAACGUAGGUCACAGGCGUUGUCCGGAAUUACUGGGUGUAAAGGGAGCGCAGGCGGGAAGACAAGUUGGAAGUGAAAUCUAUGGGCUCAACCCAUAAACUGCUUUCAAAACUGUUUUUCUUGAGUAGUGCAGAGGUAGGCGGAAUUCCCGGUGUAGCGGUGGAAUGCGUAGAUAUCGGGAGGAACACCA